ACGGGAAGAGUUGAACUGCAAGCCUGUAAGAUUCAGCUGGUACGGUUGGUUGGCUAGCUUUGUGGUCCAUAAAAAUAAUGGAUUGCCUCUCCUUGUGGGGGGUGACGGGUGUGUGCUUAAUAUGUGCAACUCGCUGCAUUGUUGGUGCUGCUGGGCCAGUGCACUUCUUUCAGGUCUUCAUCACGACCGGCGCUGCUGUCUGUCUGCUGUUGUCAAACCAGUCGAGCUCGGUCCUUGUGGCCUUGUUUUGCUGGGAUGGCAGGUAGCUUGUUGGCCUCUCGGGGCUUUCGAGUGUAAUAGCCGACUUCAGUGUGAGCUGUGCAGUGUGUCGGAGAUUGCGGUUGUGACGGGUGGCGUGAAUGCUGGCUUUAGUUGGCUUUGGGUUGUUCGCUUCGGUGGCUUCCUGGGGUUGGCUUCGGUUGGUUCUUUGCGUUGCUUUUAAUGGCCGAUAGUCUGUGAUGUAGUGGUAUGCUCUCUUCCCGACCCGUCU
rnacentral:rRNA from 1 species